rnacentral:misc_RNA from 1 species
UACAAGGAAAGAGUCUAAUGAG